GAUGAACGCUAGCUACAGGCUUAACACAUGCAAGUCGAGGGGAAACGACAUCGAAAGCUUGCUUUUGAUGGGCGUCGACCGGCGCACGGGUGAGUAACGCGUAUCCAACCUGCCCACCACUUGGGGAUAACCUUGCGAAAGUAAGACUAAUACCCAAUGAUAUCUCUAGAAGACAUCCGAAAGGGAUUAAAGAUUUAUCGGUGAUGGAUGGGGAUGCGUCUGAUUAGCUUGUUGGCGGGGUAACGGCCCACCAAGGCAACGAUCAGUAGGGGUUCUGAGAGGAAGGUCCCCCCACAUUGGAACUGAGACACGGUCCAAACUCCUACGGGAGGCAGCAGUGAGGAAUAUUGGUCAAUGGACGGGAGUCUGAACCCAGCCCAAGUAGCGUGCAGGAUGACGGCCCUAUGGGUUGUAAACUGCUUUUAUAGGGGGAUAAAGUGUGCCACGUGUGGCGUAUUGCAGGUACCCUAUGAAUAAGGACCGGCUAAUUCCGUG
rnacentral:rRNA from 1 species